ACACAGUUUACUUCUGGGCUGAUGCUGCAUCCCUUUAGCAAAAGGAAGAACAGGCUUAUGGGCAGAUUGCACAAUGCUCAUGAGGUCAAAAGUAUACGAGCUGUGGGGGUAUCAGCACUGAGCUGUAGGGUAGGGAGAGGAAUGUGCUGAGAGGCUGCACACUGCUCUGGGAAAGGGGGCAGGGAUGGCCUAAGGGCCCUGCAGAAGCCAGCGAGCUGAUCCACAAAAAGGCGCCUGAAGAUCAGCUGUUUUUUUCUGCACCGAAAAGGAGUUGUGUCCGAUUGGCAGCCCAGCAGCAAAACUUCUUGUGACUCAUUUAAGGAUCACAUAAACAGAAGAAUCCCUUUGCCUCAGAGUAAAAGUACCUCAGAGCCCCAUCUGGAGAACAUCGCCUGUCCCUGUCCCUGCAGGACCAUCCUGAAGUUCAACCCCAUGAGAUGCUUUAUGGCAGACACCUCUCUGACCUCCAGAGGGUACCCAGCACCAGCCUGGAUAGGAGUUUUUGGGAGAGAGGAGAGAUGGCAUUAGGGUUUGGAGACAGAGCAGAGGCUUGUGCCAACAGCUCACACUGCAGCAAUAAUGAGAGCCAUUUAACGAAGGUUGAGUCAACAAAAACAUGCUUCCCUCUCAACAAAUAAAUGCUUUUAUUCCUCCUUCUUGUUUUUCGCGCUAGGAGGUUUGUUCUAAGUGAAAUUGCCGGAUCAACAUUGCAAGAGAUGAGAACAUUUGAUUUAGCUCUGAAAUAGGUACAGGCGGUGUCCUGGUGGUACAGGCUGCUGUGUUGGUCCCUGUUCCUGUCCCUCAAGCUGGGCAAGCAAACCUGCC
rnacentral:lncRNA from 1 species